rnacentral:rRNA from 1 species
AACGAACGCUGGCGGCAUGCCUAACACAUGCAAGUCGAACGAGACCUUCGGGUCUAGUGGCGCACGGGUGCGUAACGCGUGGGAAUCUGCCCUUGGGUUCGGAAUAACAGUUGGAACGACUGCUAAUACCGGAUGAUGACGUAAGUCCAAAGAUUUAUCGCCCAGGGAUGAGCCCGCGUAGGAUUAGCUUGUUGGUGGGGUAAAGGCCUACCAAGGCGACGAUCCUUAGCUGGUCUGAGAGGAUGAUCAGCCACACUGGGACUGAGACACGGCCCAGACUCCUACGGGAGGCAGCAGUGGGGAAUAUUGGACAAUGGGCGAAAGCCUGAUCCAGCAAUGCCGCGUGAGUGAUGAAGGCCUUAGGGUUGUAAAGCUCUUUUACCCGGGAUGAUAAUGACAGUACCGGGAGAAUAAGCCCCGGCUAACUCCGUG